rnacentral:rRNA from 1 species
AGGAUGAACGCUAGCUACAGGCUUAACACAUGCAAGUCGAGGGGCAGCAUAUUGGUAGCUUGCUACUAAUGAUGGCGACCGGCGCACGGGUGAGUAACGCGUAUCCAACCUUCCCUAUACUAGAGGAUAGCCCGGCGAAAGUCGGAUUAAUACCCUAUGUUGUAUUAUGAGGACAUCUGAAAGAUACCAAAGGUUUACCGCUAAGGGAUGGGGAUGCGUCUGAUUAGGUUGUUGGCGGGGUAACGGCCCACCAAGCCUGCGAUCAGUAGGGGUUCUGAGAGGAAGGUCCCCCACAUUGGAACUGAGACACGGUCCAAACUCCUACGGGAGGCAGCAGUGAGGAAUAUUGGUCAAUGGGCGAGAGCCUGAACCAGCCAAGUAGCGUGCAGGAUGACGGCCCUAUGGGUUGUAAACUGCUUUUAUGCGGGGAUAAAGUGAGGGACGUGUCCCUUUUUGUAGGUACCGCAUGAAUAAGGACCGGCUAAUUCCGUGCCAGCCGCUGC